rnacentral:circRNA from 1 species
GAGAAUUCUCACCAAAUGUUCCCAAAUCCUUAUCCUCAGCUGUGAAGGUAAAAAUUGGAACAUCACUGGAAUGGGGUGGAACAUCUGAACCAAAGAAAUUUGAUGACUCUGUGAUACUUAGACCAAGCAAGAGUGUAAAACUCCGAAGUCCUAAAUCAGAACUACAUCAAGAUCGUUCUUCUCCCCCACCUCCUCUCCCAGAAAGAACUCUAGAGUCCUUCUUUCUUGCCGAUGAAGAUUGUAUGCAGGCCCAAUCUAUAGAAACAUAUUCUACUAGCUAUCCUGACACCAUGGAAAAUUCAACAUCUUCAAAACAGACACUGAAGACUCCUGGAAAAAGUUUCACAAGGAGUAAG